GGGGGGUAAUGGCUCACCAAGGCAUCGACGGGUAGCUGGUCUGAGAGGAUGAUCAGCCACACUGGGACUGAGACACGGCCCAGACUCCUACGGGAGGCAGCAGUGGGGAAUCUUGCACAAUGGGCGCAAGCCUGAUGCAGCAACGCCGCGUGCGGGAAGAAGGCCUUAGGGUUGUAAACCGCUUUCAGUAGGGAAGAAGAUGACGGUACCUACAGAAGAAGGUGCGGCCAACUACGUGCCAGCAGCCGCGGUAACACGUAGGCACCAAGCGUUAUCCGGAUUUAUUGGGCGUAAAGAGCUCGUAGGCGGUUCAGUCAGUCGGGUGUGAAAACUCAAGGCUCAACCUUGAGACGCCAUCCGAUACUGCUGUGACUUGAGUUCGGUAGAGGAGUGUGGAAUUCCUGGUGUAGCGGUGAAAUGCGCAGAUAUCAGGAGGAACACCGACAGCGAAGGCAGCACUCUGGGCCGAUACUGACACUGAGGAGCGAAAGCAUGGGGAGCAAACAGGAUUAGAUACCCUGGUAGUCCAUGCCGUAAACGUUGGGCACUAGGUGUGGGGAUUUAUCAACGAUCUCCGCGCCGUCGCUAACGCAUUAAGUG
rnacentral:rRNA from 1 species